GGAGGGUGCGAGCGUUGUUCGGAAUUAUUGGGCGUAAAGCGCGUGUAGGCGGUCUGUUUAGUCUGGUGUGAAAGCCCUGGGCUCAACCCGGGAAGUGCAUUGGAUACUGGCAGACUUGAGUACGGGAGAGGAUAGUGGAAUUCCGAGUGUAGGGGUGAAAUCCGUAGAUAUUCGGAGGAACACCGGUGGCGAAGGCGGCUAUCUGGACCGAUACUGACGCUGAGACGCGAAAGCGUGGGGAGCAAACAGGAUUAGAUACCCUGGUAGUCCACGCCGUAAACGAUGGGUACUAGGUGUUGCGGGUAUUGACCCCUGCAGUGCCGAAGCUAACGCAUUAAGUACCCCGCCUGGGGAGUACGGUCGCAAGACUA
rnacentral:rRNA from 1 species